UUGGUCCUCCCUUUGUGGUCUUUGGCUUAUGUUCCUGUUUCUCUGUGUGAACUAUUUGCCAUUUUCCAGAUUUGGAGCAUCUGUCUUUUUUUGCCUUUUGUUAAAACUAUGUGAAUUUGGAUUCUCUCUCUGCCUCGUCUCUUCGAACACACUACAGAACAACUCAAACAAUGAAUCCAGCUGCACAGUUAAAAUGUCUCUGUCAAGGAGAUAGAUCAAUCGAAGACUAUGUUUAGGACUUUAUUGGACUGGUGCAUUCAACAUCUUUUGACGAGAGGCGCAGUGCUCCCGCAGUAGCCUCCACCCCAGAGGCUCAUCACAACAGGACCGUCACUCCACAGACUCGUCCCAUCAUGGCUGCCAUUUCCGAGUCUCAUCCCAUCAUGGUCACAACUCCAGAGUCCUUAGGCCUAAUGACCGCCACGCCAACGUCCUUGGCUGUCAUGGACGCCAAGUUAAAGUCUCCAGCCGUCAUGGACACCACACCAGUGUUUUUUUAAAAAGAUGCGAUGCGACUCUCCAGCGAGUUGUCAGAUUGAGGACAUGCAACGGGAAUUAGCGCAAUUGAAAAUGGAAGGUGACGAGCCUUAUACUAAAGCAAAGACUAGAGAAAUGUCUGCACCUCCACCAGCCAGAACAAUUCAUUUGAGAUGAUAGAGGAAGUAGGUGAGCUGAAGCAGCCAGUUGCAGGGCCUGCACUUUCUGUUUUGUCCCACUUUACUUCAAGACACCAUGUAAUCACUUAAGAGCUGUUUUUGUCCUGUGUUCAAGUAUUUCUUAAUGAAAAUUGAGGUUUUGAGGGGUAAUUCAGAACAAAAUGGAUUCACCGAACAAUUUCAAUUGUCUCCCAUAUUUUCACUCACUGACGAAGGCAGGGAGAUUUUUAGCACUACUGCAAAAAUAAUGAACAG